UACGAAGGGUGCAAACGUUGCUCGGAAUUAUUGGGCGUAAAGCGCACGUAGGCGGCUCUAUAAGUCGGAUGUGAAAUCCCUCGGCUUAACCAAGGAAGUGCAUCCGAAACUGCAGAGCUUGAGUACUUAAGAGGAUCGCGGAAUUCCCGGUGUAGAGGUGAAAUUCGUAGAUAUCGGGAGGAACACCAGUGGCGAAGGCGGCGACCUGGGCCAAUACUGACGCUGAGGUGCGAAAGCGUGGGGAGCAAACAGG
rnacentral:rRNA from 1 species